GACUCCUCCAGUUUUGAGGUUCAGCUCUAGGAUCACCUCCUCCAGGAAGCUCCCCCCCACCAGCCCCACCCCUUCUACUCAGUCUGCUCUCCUCCUCCAUCCAACGCUUCUCCUCUGCAUCUUGGUAACAAUUCUACCCGCUGAGCACCGGCCACACGGUCUGUUUAUCCAUCUGACUUCUCAUGACCUGGGAGUCCCCUGAGGUGCACAGAGGGAAAGCCGUGGGAGGCUACACUGAGAAGGCUGCUGUCUGCAAGCCAGGAAGACAGGCCUCCUAACCAGAAACCAGCCCAGCUGAUACCUUGAUCCUAGACUUCAGCCUCCAGAAUUGUGAGAAAAUAAAUUUCUGGUGUUUUAACCACCCGGUCUAUGGAAUUCUCCUAGGCAACCUGAGCAGAUUAACACACCAGGGCCAGUUGCCAGCACCCAACGACUUGACAGCUUCCACUUUUGAACUUUCGUGAACCUAAACCACCAUGUAGG
ensembl:lncRNA